CAGCCGCCACGGGAAUACGAAGGGUGCAAGCGUUAAUCGGAAUUACUGGGCGUAAAGCGUGCGUAGGUGGUGGUUUAAGUCCGUUGUGAAAGCCCUGGGCUCAACCUGGGAAUUGCAGUGGAUACUGGGUCACUAGAGUGUGGUAGAGGAUAGUGGAAUUUCCGGUGUAGCAGUGAAAUGCGUAGAGAUCGGAAGGAACAUCUGUGGCGAAGGCGACUAUCUGGGCCAACACUGACACUGAGGCACGAAAGCGUGGGGAGCAAACAGGAUUAGAUACCCGCGUAGUCCCUGUCUCUUAUAC
rnacentral:rRNA from 1 species